rnacentral:lncRNA from 1 species
AUUACACUGCAUUUACCCUUACAGUUAGUCUAAAAGGAGUUGUACAGUUAAAAAAAGAUCCAAGAGACAAAAAGAAAAUAUUUUCAUAUUUUUUUUUAAUUUUAGUUUCCUUAAGUGACCACUAGUAUGGACCUCUGUCAGGACAUAGCUAACUGGAGCAGAAAGAUUAAAUCACUUCUCACUAUAUGCUACCAAACAGGAACAGAAGAUGACUGAGUGCUCUCUACUUAACUGCAGUACAUGCAGUCCUCUGAAGAGAGGUUAUCUUGAGAGGAUGCUUAAGGUUCAGUGUGUGCUCAGCUACUUUGAUGCACUUCAGUGUUUUAAAGAAUUUAAAACAUCCUUCAGGAAUCAGAAGGACUUGGUGAUGCAGAAAUUCCUUUUUUGUAAUUGUGAAAUUAAACUAUUGCAAAGGCAAGGAAAUGUACAACCUACUGAAUUACCAAGAGGAAACGUCCUACGGAAAUAAAGCUCACAAAGAAUAUCCAACGCUAUGCUAAGUAAUGUGCUAGAAAAAAAGAUCCCUAAAGCAGUGAAACAUCCUUGUUACCACCUUUUAGGUUGUAGGGAAGGUGUCCAUCACAGCUCUGAGCAUGUUUCCUUCCCCAGACAAAGAUGAUGGUACCAGGACUGCAGAAGUGUGUGGGAUCUGCCAUUCUGUCUGGUCCUUCUCCCUCCGGCAAUGAUCCCCAGCUCAGCCCGGUGUUCCGCAGCCCCAGAUUCUGCCUUCAGGUGACCGAGCUGGGAGGCCAGAAGGGCAGAUGCAGUGAAGAUCUCAGUAUACCACAGUUUCAGGAUGCAGAGAAGACAAAGGCAGAUCCACUUUGGAUCUGACUUCUGAGUUGGAUCUGAUUUGAGAGGGAUACUGGACAAGAUGACCCCCACAUGCCCCUUCCAUAACCAUUUGCUUAUGUCCUUGUAUUUUUGUUUAAAAAAUUCUCAAAAAAGCCAACCCAAUACCCAUUCCUCCUCACACCCAAAAGAAACCUAGCCAACUUUGUAGUGCGAUUAAUUGAAAAAGCAUUUAGCAUCUCUUUCUAUUUAUUGAAUACUCUCGACAUUUGAAAGAAAUUUCAGAGCAAUUCUACCAUUCAGUCCUUCAGCCAUGAAUUGAUGGCCAAUAUUUCUCUUUUGGCUUUUCCUCUCAAAAUUCUCUUAUUGCAUUGUAUUGGAAAUCAGCUCCUGAUGUCAGAAUAAAAUAAAGUAUUGUGAAACCA